ACGCUACAGUGCUACUGGCCCAUAAUCAGGCAACUGCAGAGUCUUAGGGGGUUAUCUAAUGUAGUCUUGGGGUGGCUGGAUAGACUUCCCAAAGAAGGUGAUGCCGAAGCUGAGGUCGGAAAUUACGAAGAUCAGCUAUCAAACUUGGAAAUCAUGUCUUAGAGAUCAAGGAGCCAAGAGAUGAGACAAGCCUGGGUUCCUAGGUGAUAGGGUGUGGCUGUGUCCCCACCCAAAUCUCGUCUUGAAUUGUAGCUCCCAUAAUCCCCACAUGUUGUGGAGGGACCCUGUGGAAGGAAGGCCUGAGGAGAGAAGACACAUAGUCAUGCUGACUAAACCAGAUCACCUAGAAUUACCAAAUGGAAAGAUAAGAAAAAUCACCCACAAAUUUGUAAUAAUAUUUACUCACUUUUCAAAGGUUUCUCCAACUUUUUGAGUCAGGACUAAUCAUCUUUAAAUUAAUUUCUUUAAAAAAAGAAGUAGAAAGAGAUGAUGAAAGAAAAGAGACUAGUUUUUUAUUUGAAGGCACAGUGAUUAUUGCCAGUUGUCAAGGAAACUUUCCUCCUCCUGACCAGUCAAUCAGUAUCACUUAAGCUUUUGUUCUAACAAAAACGGGUUUCCCUCUAUCAAGUACACACCUGAUAUAUGCUUUUUCUUAAUGUAAAUAUUAAUAGAUGGCCAAUUGUUUCCAUCAUUCAGAGGCCUCCUCUGUUUAAACAUUCUCUGCUGAAUUUGUUUAUUCCACUGUAAAAACCAUGGCAACCACAAGGAAAAAUGUUUUCCUGUUUUUCAGAGUGUUGGACUAUUAGAACACUAGGGAUCACUAGAAAUAAAAAAUACAACUUAGAACAAAGUCUUAACUCCAUGUCAGGAAGAUGGAGUAUGACCAAGCAGCUGUGUAGCAAGUUCCAGGGACCACAGCAGAAUAGGCUCUGUUGGCCGGGUGCGGUGGCUCACGCCUGUAAUCCCAGCACUUUGGGAGGCCAAGGCGGGCGAAUUAUGAAGUCAGGAGAUCGAGACCAUCCUGGCUAACAGGGUGAAACCCCACCUCUACUAAAAAUACAAAAAAA
rnacentral:lncRNA from 1 species